rnacentral:rRNA from 1 species
UGGGGAAUAUUGCGCAAUGGGCGAAAGUCUGACGCAGCGACGCCGCGUGAGGGAUGAAGGUUUUCGGAUCGUAAACCUCUGUCAGAAGGGAAGAAACCGCACUGUGCUAAUCAGCAGUGCCUUGACGGUACCUUCAAAGGAAGCACCGGCUAACUCCGUGCCAGCAGCCGCGGUAAUACGGAGGGUGCAAGCGUUAAUCGGAAUUACUGGGCGUAAAGCGCACGUAGGCUGCUUUGUAAGUCAGGGGUGAAAUCCCACGGCUCAACCGUGGAACUGCCUUUGACACUGCUUAGCUUGAAUCCGGGAGAGGGUGGCGGAAUUCCAGGUGUAGGAGUGAAAUCCGUAGAUAUCUGGAGGAACAUCAGUGGCGAAGGCGGCCACCUGGACCGGUAUUGACGCUGAGGUGCGAAAGCGUGGGGAGCAAACAGG